rnacentral:rRNA from 1 species
AACGAACGCUGGCGGCAUGCCUAACACAUGCAAGUCGAACGAGACCUUCGGGUCUAGUGGCGCACGGGUGCGUAACGCGUGGGAACCUGCCCUUAGGUUCGGAAUAACUCCCCGAAAGGGGUGCUAAUACCGGAUAAUGUCUUCGGACCAAAGAUUUAUCGCCUUUGGAUGGGCCCGCGUUGGAUUAGCUAGGUGGUAGGGUAAAAGCCUGCCAAGGCGACGAUCCAUAGCUGGUCUGAGAGGAUGAUCAGCCACACUGAGACUGCGACACGGCCCAGACUCCUGCGGCGGGCCGCCGUGUGGCCUCUUCGCCCCUGGGCGCGCGCCUGCUCCAGCAAUGCCGCGUGAGUGAUGAAGGCCUUAGGGUUGUGCCGCUCUUUUCCCCGGGCUGCUCCUGCCGGUCCCGGGCGCCUCCGCGCCGGCUCCCUCCGUG